rnacentral:tRNA from 1 species
GUAAAAUGGCUGAGUAAAGCAUUAGACUGUAAAUCUAAGCACAGAGGAGGUCCCCCUCUUUUUACCA